AUUGAACGCGGGCGGCAGGCUUAACACAUGCAAGUCGAGCGGGGAGAGGCGCUUCGGUACUGAUCCUAGCGGCGGACGGGUGCGUAAUGCUUAGGAAUCUGCCAUUUAGUGAGGGACAACAUUCCGAAAGGAAUGCUAAUACCGCAUACGUCCUCCGGGAGAAAGCAGGGGAUCUUCGGACCUUGCGCUAAAUGACGAGCCUAAGUAGGAUUAGCUAGUGGGUGGGGUAAAGGCCUACCAAGGCGACGAUCUGUAGCGGGUCUGCGAGGAUGAUCCGCAACACUGGGACUGGGACACGGCCCAGACUCCUACGGGAGGCAGCAGUGGGGAAUAUUGGACAAUGGGCGGAAGCCUGAUCCAGCCAUGCCGCGUGUGUGAAGAAGGCCUUUUGGUUGUAAAGCACUUUAAGCGAGGAGGAGGCUACCUAGAUUAAUACUCUGGGAUAGUGGACGUUACUCGCAGAAUAAGCACCGGCUAACUCUGUGCCAGCCGCCGCCGUAAAAC
rnacentral:rRNA from 1 species